rnacentral:rRNA from 1 species
UUGCGGCCUCGGUGUGAUAGACAUCUACGCCUUGGCUUAGCGCUUGUGGGGGUUCGCUUCGAACCGUCUCCUUGUGGGACAACGUGAAAACACGAAACUUGACCUCAGAUCAGGUGGGACUACCCGCUGAACUUAAGCAUAUCAAUAAGCGGAGGAAAAGAAACUAACAAGGAUUCCCCUAGUAACUGCGAGUGAAGCGGGAAAAGCUCAAAUUUAAAAUCUGGCGGUCUCUGGCCGUCCGAGUUGUAGUUUAGAGAAGCGUCUUCCGCGCUGGACCGUGUACAAGUCUCCUGGAACGGAGCGUCGUAGAGGGUGAGAAUCCCGUCUUUGACACGGACUGCCAGUGCUAUGCGAUGCGCUCUCGAAGAGUCGAGUUGUUUGGGAAUGCAGCUCAAAACGGGUGGUGAACUCCAUCUAAAGCUAAAUAUUGGCGAGAGACCGAUAGCGAACAAGUACCGUGAGGGAAAGAUGAAAAGCACUUUGGAAAGAGAGUGAAACAGUACGUGAAAUUGCUGAAAGGGAAACGCUUGAAGUCAGUCGUGUCUGCCGGGACUCAGCCUUGCUUCGGCCUGGUGUACUUCCUGGUGGACAGGCCAGCAUCGCUUUUGGUUGCUGGAAAAGGGCGGGGGGAAGGUGGCACCUUUGGGUGUGUUAUAGCCCCCCGUCGCAUGCAGUGGCUGGGAGCGAGGAACUCAGCGCGCCUUUGGUCGGGGUUCGCCCACGAUCGCGCUUAGGAUGCCGGCGUAAUGGCUUUAAACGACCCGUCUUGAAACACGGACCAAGGAG